GGAUUUGGUGGAGGGAGGUUGUGUCUCAUAGACGAUGGUGCUGUGGAUUUGGUGUAGGGAGGUUGUGUCUCAUAGAUGAUGGUGCUGUGGAUUUGGUGGAGGGAGGUUGUGUUUCAUAGAUGGUGCUGUGGAUUUGGUGGAGGGAGGUUGUGUUUCAUAGAUGGUGCUGUGGAUUUGGUGGAGGGAGGUUGUGUUUCAUAGAUGGUGCUGUGGAUUUGGUGGAGGGAGGUUGUGUUUCAUAGAUGGUGCUGUGGAUUUGGUGUAGGGAGGUUGUGUUUCAUAGAUGAUGCUGUGGAUUUGGUGGAGGGAGGUUGUGUCUCAUAGAUGAUGGUGUGGAUUUGGUGGAGGGAGGUUGUGUUUCAUAGAUGAUGCUGUGGAUUUGGUGGAGGGAGGUUGUGUCUCAUAGAUGAUGGUGUGGAUUUGGUGGAGGGAGGUUGUGUUUCAUAGAUGGUGCUGUUGAUUUGGUGGAGGGAGGUCGUGUCUCAUAGAUGGUGCUGUGGAUUUGGUGGAGGGAGGUCGUGUCUCAUAGACAUCAGCUUCUUGCCGUGUCCUCUUGUGGAAGUGAUUUCUCCUGGGAUCAUGAGUGCCCUCAUGCAAGUGCCCCCUGAACUCUGUGGCAGAAGGGUUCGAUCCUACCCCAGGCACCCCCCUUAUCACCGCCCGAGGCCCCACCUCACAACAUCAUCUUAUGGGUAAGGAUUUCAGCAUAGGAACUUCAGGGGAAUCCCAGACAUUCAGUGUUAUGGGUGGGGUCACUCGGUGUGUGGCCCUCACCGUGGUGGCGCGGUCGGCGGUCCCUUCCUCUCCGGCGCUGAGCAGCAUUCUCUGUGUGGGUCUCUGUGCCUGUGCACCUGCUGAAGGGCCACUGGGGCUUCAGCUUUUUGGCUUUUAGGAAUAAUGCUGCCAUGGGGCUCAGUGUGUGGUGAGUAGUGGACAGAAGGCUCUGUCCUGGUGGGUGCCCUUCCGUGGCCUGAGUUGGGAGAUGAGGGCUGGCAGGGGCCUGUGGACGAGUCCAGAGUGAGGCGGAAUCUCCAAGGGGCUCACAUGCUGUCUGUGGAAGAGUGGGCUGGCUUUUCUCCCCAGUGGGCAGCUGUUGAAGGUUUUGGAGCCCAAACAGCGUCGCAGCUCAGUUGUCUUUCAGGAGGAGUGUGGUUGUGGGUGGGGCCGGCUGGGUCAGGGCGGGGCCAUGUGGGCUGAGGUUUGAGCUGGGCCCUGCCACGUUGGGGCCACAUGGCGGCUGGUUGGAUAGGAGGGAGCCUCUGCCGACCAGCACCCCAGAUGUGGAGCCCCAGCUGCGGGAUGUGAGGUCUCAGGGUAACCAGGCAUCCAGACAUUGGGUCUGCGGUGUGAGGACCCCUGCGUCCCAGCUCCACAGCGCUGUGUGACAGGAUGUGGCAGCAGCUGAGUUGGCAGGGGAGGCAGGGUGACCUGAAAAGCAGGCUGGGACCAAAGCGUCUUGCAAAACCACACCUCGUCACCUUGCCUGGCUUGAGUGCUGUCCCAAGCCUCACCCUAGGCCCCCCAAUGGCUGGGCCAAGCAGUGGCCAGCACCUCACAGCCGCCAGAGGCCCUGGGCCACCUGGGCCUGGCUCGGCUUCUCGGGCCCAGAGCCCCUGCCUCCCUCUGCAGCCUCUCCUGGCUUGGUGAGUUAUGCAGGAGACACGGGUGGCUUCCACCCAGCUGGGGUGGUGCACACGAGUUAACACGCAGCCACCCACCUGUGCAGGUGCUGCAUACGUGUGCCCAUGUGCAUGCCUGUGUGUUCGUGUGUGCAUGCAGCGUGCACGUGUGUAUGUAUGUGCAUUCAUGCGUGUGUGGUGUACACAGGUGUGUGUGUGUGUAUGUGUGCGCAGGGGUGUGUAGGUGUGAGCCGCCUCCCUCCCCCAUCAGUGUCCCCGAUCGCCUCUGCAGACACGUGCGUGGUGUACACAGGUGUGUGUGUGUGUAUGUGUGCGCAGGGGUGUGUAGGUGUGAGCCGCCUCCCUCCCCCAUCAGUGUCCCCGAUCGCCUCUGCAGACACGUGUGUGGUGUACACAGGUGUGUGUGUGUGUAUGUGUGCGCAGGGGUGUGUAGGUGUGAGCCGCCUCCCUCCCCCAUCAGUGUCCCCGAUCGCCUCUGCAGACAUGUGCGUGGUGUACACAGGUAUGUGUGUGUGUGUGUAUGUGCGCGCAGGGGUGUGUAGGUGUGAGCCGCCUCCCUCCCCCAUCAGUGUCCCCGAUCGCCUCUGCAGACACGUGCGUGGUGUACACAGGUGUGUGUGUGUGUGUAUGUGUGCGCAGGGGUGUGUAGGUGUGAGCCGCCUCCCUCCGCCAUCAGUGUCCCCUCCCUCCCCCAUCAGUGUCCCCUCCCUCCCCCAUCAGUGUCCCCGAUCGCCUCUGCAGAGCUCCAUGAGGUCCUUGGCUGCAGUUGUCAUUUUUGCCUUCCUAGGAAAAAAGCAAAAAAGGCCAGAUGCAGCGGCUCGUUGCUGCAAUCCCAGCACUGUGGGAGGCCGAGGCAGGUGGAUCACCUGAGGUUGGGAGUUCAAGACCAGCCUGAUCAACAUGGAGAAACCUCAUCACUACUAAAAAUACAAAAUGAGCCGAUCAUGGUGGUGGGCGCCUGUAAUCCUUGGUACUUGGGAGGCUGAGGCCGGAGAAUUGCUUGAACCCAGGAGGCGGAGGUUUUGAUGAGCCAAGACUGCACUGUGGCAUUCCAGCCUGGGCAACAAGAGUGAAACUCUGUCUCGAAACAAGCCCACGAAAUCCGCAAACAGUAGUACCCGGCCAGUCCUCAUCCGGUCAGUGACCCGUGGCUUUCCAGACUCCUUCCUGACCGUCCCGGGUGCUGACGCUUGCUCGUUCGUUUCAUUGUUUGGGGGUUUAUGGCCUGAGGGGCCUUGUGACUUGGGUGCAGAGUUACCAAGGGGUGGUGGCUUCUGACCCAAGUGCAGGGCCCUGCUCGCCUCCUGCUGCUGUGUGAGGCCUGUGCCGGGGUGCAGGCUUGACGUGCGAGCUGGGCCUGUGCCGGGGGUAGCGUUAAGCACGUUCGGGGCCUGUGCCAGGUACAGGCUUCCAGUGUGCUGUUCUUGUGGCUUUCUGCGGGUGCUGUUUGCUAUUUCCAGGGGCUGCACCUUUCCAAACAAACCCAUAGAGCGGCCAUCUUUUAUAAUAGCGUUUUGUUAAAAAUAGUCUCAGCCAGGUGCGGUGGCUCACAUCUGUAACCCCAUCGCUUUGGGAGGCCGAGGAGGGUGGAUCAUGAGGUCAAGAGAUCGAGACCAGCCUGGCCAACAUGGUGAAACCCCAUCUCUACUGAAAAUACAAAAGUUAGCUGGGCGUGGGGGCGCACGCCUGUAAUCCCAGCUACUUGGGAGGCUGAGGCAGAAGAAUCACUUGAACCCGGGAGGUGUAGGUUG